CCUACGGGUGGCAGCAGUAGGGAAUCUUCGGCAAUGGGGGGAACCCUGACCGAGCAACGCCGCGUGAAGGAAGAAGGAAUUCGGGCUGUAAACUUCUGUUAUAAAGGAAGAAAGACGGAUGGAGGAAAUGACAACCGAGUGACGGUACUUUAUGAGAAAGCCACGGCUAAAUACGUAGCAGCAGACGCUGUAAUACGGAGGUGGCAAGCGGUAUCCGGAAGUAUGGGGCGUAACGAGGGAGAAGGCGGCAGCAAGGGUCUGUGGUGAAAGACUGAAGCUAAACUUCAGUAAGCCAUAGAAACCGGUCAGCUAGAGUGCAGGAGAGGAUCGUGGAAUUCCAUGUGUAGCGGUGAAAUGCGUAGAUAUAUGGAGGAACACCAGUGGCGAAGGCGACGAUCUGGCCUGCAACUGACGCUCAGUCCCGAAAGCGUGGGGAGCAAAUAGGAUUAGAUACCCCAGUAGUC
rnacentral:rRNA from 1 species